UACGUAGGGGGCAAGCGUUGUCCGGAUUUAUUGGGCGUAAAGAGCGUGUAGGCGGCCAGGUAGGUCUGGUGUGAAAACUCGAGGCUUAACCUCGAGAUGUCAUCGGAAACCAUCUGGCUAGAGUCCGGAAGAGGAGAGUGGAAUUCCUGGUGUAGCAGUGAAAUGCGCAGAUAUCAGGAAGAACACCAAUGGCGAAAGCAGCUCUCUGGGACGGUACUGACGCUGAGACGCGAAAGCGUGGGGAGCGAACAGG
rnacentral:rRNA from 1 species